rnacentral:tRNA from 1 species
UGUGCGGUGGCCCAGAUGGAUAAGGCACCGGCCUCCGAAGCCGGAGAUCGUGGGUUCGACUCCCACCCGCGCAACCA